rnacentral:hammerhead_ribozyme from 1 species
UUCCAAAUGACGAGUCUCAAAUAGGAGGAAACACGCAUCCUGGAU